CUAACACACACCAGUGUAUGUCAAACAUAAGUACAGAAUUUUAUUUAAAUUUUGAACUGCAACUUCGCGGUGGUAGAGCUGCAUCUAUCUCUCGCCUACGCUUGUGGGGUUAGACAGUUCUGGAAUGUGCGCAGAGGAGUGGAGUCACAUGGUGAUUAUGAGCCAUUCCUUACAUCCCUUUAAACUUUGGAGCCUAAGAAGUCAAUAGUUUGGUUAUACGUCUGAGUUUGGUUGUACGGAGUUUGGAAGACAAGAAGAGGUCUCCCUAUACAGUCCCCACUUUGAAAUUCCCGUUUGUAGUCUCCAGACCUCAAAAGUCAGUGGUCUCACAGAAGAGCCCAGGAGUCAUUGGUUUCCCGCUUUUGGCCCAAGCUCCCGGCGUAACGAAUGCUAACGCAGAACCUCCGCCGACAGCCGCUGCGUCCCGUCCCCCGCUGGUCUAGUCGCCCGCCGCCAACCCCGGGGGCGGGCGCUGCGCCAGGGCUUCGGGACCCAGUGCCAGACCCAGAGCGCCGCCGGGCACCCGAGGGUGACAGCAGGAGAGAAGGUGGUGUUGUUGACAGAAACAUUGUAAGCAGAGAAGGUGAAUCAAUCCAUGGAGUAUCCCUAUCACACUGGAUGAAGGUAAGUGCCAUGAACCGCCUCUUCCUAUACCACUGUGGCCAUUCUGUACAUGGGCCCAUGGCAGUUUUGCAUAUAGGCCCACUGAACGAGCAAGCAAGCACCAGGGUAGCUAUAGAAAGAGGUCAGUCACAGAACAGGCCACCUUGUCCACCUGAAUAUUCAGUCUUCUCUGUAGUGGAGACCCUUUACAGAGCAUUCACAUGGGACUCAAAUAUCUUCACUCUGGCCAUUCUAGGUAAUGCAGCCACCUAUUCCCUGUACUUUCUUAGAGUCAGCUUCAUUUUUUCCAAGCCUUUGAUCACCUGGCAACCUUAA
rnacentral:lncRNA from 1 species